GGAAGGCAACUCUGAUGCAGCAAUGCCGCGUGAGUGAAGAAGACCCUUGGGUCGUAAAGCUCUUUUAUGGGGGAAGAUGAUGACGGUACCCCAGGAAUAAGCACCGGCUAACUAACGUGUCCAGCAGCCGCGGUAAUACGUAGGGUGCGAACGUUGUUCGGAAUUACUGGGCGUAAAGGGCGCGCAGGCGGAGGUGCAAGUCGGAGGUGAAAGCCCGGGGCUCAACCCCGGAGGGUCUUUCGAAACUGCAUCUCUAGAGAGGGUCAGGGGCCGGCAGAAUUCCUGGUGUAGAGGUGAAAUUCGUAGAUAUCAGGAGGAAUACCGGUGGCGAAAGCGGCCGGUCUGGGGCCRUCUCUGACGCUGAGGCGCGAAAGCUGUGGGGAGCAAACAGGAUUAGAUAUCCCUGGUAGUCCACGCCGUAAACGAUGAGCACUAGACGUUCGGAGGGUU
rnacentral:rRNA from 1 species